UACGAAGGGUGCAAGCGUUACUCGGAAUUACUGGGCGUAAAGCGUGCGUAGGUGGUGAGUUAAGUCUGUCGUGAAAGCCCCGGGCUCAACCUGGGAAUGGCGAUGGAUACUGGCUCGCUAGAGUGCGGUAGAGGAGAGUGGAAUUCCCGGUGUAGCGGUGGAAUGCGUAGAGAUCCGGAAGAACACCGGUGGCGAAGGCGGCCCGCUGGGCAGGAAGACCUCGUAAGAGGUCGGCUGACACUGAGGCGCGACGAGCGUGGGGAGCAAACAGG
rnacentral:rRNA from 1 species